rnacentral:rRNA from 1 species
AUGAUGAGUGAAAACAUUUCUUCUUUGGAUAUGCUCAUGAAUUCGUCGUCGUCUUCAUCUGACGACGACGAACUCAUUCUUGUAGCAUUCGCAGAGCGCGAGAAGGAAGAGCAGAGGAAUCGUCGACGCCAUGGCGGUUCCAAGCAUGGACGUCAGACAAUCAAUCGAGCAAGAGAUGCAGGAUUUGUUCUACUAUGGAAUGACUACUUCAAAGAAAGUCCUCGCUAUCCCGAAAACUUAUUUCGGCGAAGGGUCAAACAAAGGAUGUGGAACGAGCCUUUGGAGUUUUGCAAUCCCGUUUUGCCAUUGUCCGAGGACCUGCGAAAGGAUGGAAACGUAAAGAAAUCGGUGAUGUCAUGA